rnacentral:rRNA from 1 species
AGUGAACGCUGGCGGUAGGCCUAACACAUGCCAGUCGAACGGCAGCACAGUAAGAGCUUGCUCUUACGGGUGGCGAGUGGCGGACGGGUGAGGAAUACAUCGGCAUCUACUUUUUCGUGGGGGAUAACGUAGGGAAACUUACGCUACUACCGCAUACGACCUACGGGUGAAAGCAGGGGAUCUUCGGACCUUGCGCGAUUGAAUGAGCCGAUGUCGGAUUAGCUAGUUGGCGGGGUAAAGGCCCACCAAGGCGACGAUCCGUAGCUGGUCUGAGAGGAUGAUCAGCCACACUGGAACUGAGACACGGUCCAGACUCCUACGGGAGGCAGCAGUGGGGAAUAUUGGACAAUGGGCGCAAGCCUGAUCCAGCCAUACCGCGUGGGUGAAGAAGGCCUUCGGGUUGUAAAGCCCUUUUGUUGGGAAAGAAAAGCAGCAGGUUAAUACCCCGCUGUUCUGACGGUACCCAAAGAAUAAGCACCGGCUAACUUCGUG